rnacentral:rRNA from 1 species
CCGAAUUGUCAACACGAGUUGUUGCUGGUCCUCAAAUGGGGGCAUGUGCACGCUCUGUUUACACAUCCACUCACACCUGUGCACGCUCUGUAGCUCUGUGGCAUGGGGGGCUCUGCCCCCCUGUUGUGGUUCUACGUCUUUACACACACUCUGUAACAAAGUCUCAUGGAAUGCAUGACGCGUUUAACGCAAUACAAUACAACUUUCAGCAACGGAUCUCUUGGCUCUCGCAUCGAUGAAGAACGCAGCGAAAUGCGAUAAGUAAUGUGAAUUGCAGAAUUCAGUGAAUCAUCGAAUCUUUGAACGCACCUUGCGCCCUUUGGCUAUUCUGAAGGGCAUGCCUGUUUGAGUAUCGUGAACACCUCAACUCUCAUGGUUUGCCAUGAUGAGUUUGGACUUGGGGGGUUUUGCUGGCCUGUGGUCAGCUCCUCUCAAAUGGAUCAGCUUGCCAGUGUUUGGUGGCACCACAGGUGUGAUACCUAUCUACGCUUGUGGUUUUCUACCAGAUAACCUUCAGUGAUGGAGGUUCGCUGGGGCUUAUAAAUGUCUCUCCUCAGUGAAGACAGCUAUUUGAACGUUUGAUCUCAAAUCAGGUAGGACUACCCGCUGAACUUAAGCAUAUCAAUAAGCGGAGGAAAAGAAACUAACAAGGAUUCCCCUAGUAACUGCGAGUGAAGCGGGAAGAGCUCAAAUUUAAAAUCUGGCGUCCUCUGGUCGUCCGAGUUGUAGUCUGGAGAAGUGUUUUCCGUGUUGGACCGUGUAUAAGUCCCUUGGAACAGGGCGUCAUAGAGGGUGAGAAUCCCGUCUUUGACACGGACUACCAAUGCUUUGUGAUGCGCUCUCAAAGAGUCGAGUUGUUUGGGAAUGCAGCUCAA